AGUAUAUGUUGUGAGCGUGCUUCAGAUCUCCGGAGAUAGCACAGUACGCUGUGUCCAGCCCAGAGGUGAAAGCCAUCCAAAGCAGAGUAACUGUGCUUUGCGUCCAAGUUGAUACCUGUGGAGAGGAAAGGAAAGAGAGAUUGAUACCUGUGGAGAGAAAAGGAGAGAGAGUGGGUAACACGAGGAGAGAUCGAGGAAACCUGUACUUACGCCGCUGCCUGUGGAGAGAAAAGGAAAGAGAGAGUGAGUAACACAAGGAGAAACAGAGGAAACCUGUACUUACAGUACGCUGUGUCCAGCCCAGAGCGAAGAGGUGAGAGCAAAACCAAGCCGAAUUAACUGUGCCUUUGUGUCCCAGCCGUUGCCUGUGGAGGAAGAGAAAGAGACCGUUGCCUGUGGAGGAAGAGAAAGAGAGUGAGCACCCCGAGAACGAACUGUGUGAACCAGUACUUACCGUGAGCUGUAUUCAGCGAAGAGGAGG
ensembl:lncRNA